rnacentral:rRNA from 1 species
GACGAACGCUGGCGGCGUGCCUAAUACAUGCAAGUAGAACGCUGAAGGAGGAGCUUGCUCUUCUGGAUGAGUUGCGAACGGGUGAGUAACGCGUAGGUAACCUGCCUGGUAGCGGGGGAUAACUAUUGGAAACGAUAACUAAUACCGCAUAAGAGUAGAUGUUGCAUGACAUUUACUUAAAAGGUGCAAUUGCAUCACUACCAGAUGGACCUGCGUUGUAUUAGCUAGUUGGUGGGGUAACGGCUUACCAAGGCGACGAUACAUAGCCGACCUGGGAGGGUGAUCGGCCAAACUGGGACUGAGACACGGCCCAGACUCCUACGGGAGGCAGCAGUAGGGAAUCUUCGGCAAUGGACGGAAGUCUGACCGAGCAACGCCGCGUGAGUGAAGAAGGUUGUCGGAUCGUAAAGCUCUGUUGUAAGAGAAGAACGAGUGUGAGAGUGGAAAGUUCACACUGUGACGGUAUCUUACCAGAAAGGGACGGCUAACUACGUG